GACAGUGUGUUAGGCAGAGGAGUUACAGGUUAGACAGUGUGUUAGGUAGAGGAGGUACAGGUUAGACAAUGUGUUAGGUAGAGAGCUGUACAGGUUAGACAGUGUGUUAGGUAGAGUCCGUACAGGUUAGACAGUGUGUUAGGUAGAGGCUGUACAGGUUAGACAGUGUGUUAGGUUAGACAGUGUGUUAGGUAGAGGAGGUACAGGUUAGACAGUGUGUUAGGUAGAGCUGUACAGGUUAGACAGUGUAUUAGGUAGAGUUGUACAGGUUAGACAGUGUGUUAGGUAGAGACUGUACAGGUUAGACAGUGUGUUAGGUAGAGUCUGUACAGGUUAGACAGUGUGUUAGGUAGAGGCUGUACAGGUUAGACAGUGUGUUAGGUAGAGGCUGUAUAGGUUAGACAGUGUGUUAGGUAGAGACUGUACAGGUUAGACAGUGUGUUAGGUAGAGUCUGUACAGGUUAGAAAAUGUGUGUUAGGUAGAGGCUGUACAGGUUAGACAGUGUGUUACGUAGAGGCUGUAUAGGUUAGACAGUGUGUUAGGUAGAGGCUGUACAGGUUAGAC